CGCGAAUGGCUCAUUACAACAGCCAUAGUUUACUGGAUAUAUUCCAUUACAUGGAUAACUGUGAUAAUUCUACAGCUAAUACACGCAUCAAAGCCCUGACUUCGGAAAGGGUGCGUUAGUUACUUCAAACUGAUCGGUCUUCGGACUGCCAUCAAGUGAGAUUGAACUAUUUAGCUGAUCGCACGGUCUAAGCACCGGCAACAUAUCCUUCAAAUGUCUGCCUUAUCAACUUUCGAUGGUAGAUUAUGCGCCUACCAUGGUUGUAACGAGUAACGGAGAAUCAGGGUUUGAUUCCGGAGAGGGAGCCUGAGAAAUGGCUACCACAUCCAAGGAAGGCAGCAGGCACGCAAAUUACCCACUCCCGGCACGGGGAGGUAGUGACGAAAAAUAACAAGCUGGUCUCUUUGAGUUCCGGCAUUGUAAUGGGAACAACUUAAAUCAUUUAUCGAGAAUCUAUUGGAGGGCAAGUCUGGUGCCAGCAGCCGCGGUAAUUCCAGCUCCAAUAGCGUAUAUUAAAGUUGUUGCGGUUAAAAAGCUCGUAGUUGGAUCUACGAUCAAAGCUCAUGGUCGUUCUUCUCGAAUGUACUGCGAUGUCUGGUCGAUUUAUCUGGUGAACGAUUAAUGCUCUUCAUUGAGUGUCUCUAGUUGCUGGAACGUUUACCUUGAAAAAAUUGAAGUGCUCAAAGCAGGCUCUUGCCUGAACAUUGCUGCAUGGGAUAAUAGAAUAGGACUUCAGUUCUAUUUUGUUGGUUUCGGAACGCGGAGUAAUGAUUAAUAGGGACAGACGGGGGCAUUCGUAUUGCUGCGUUAGAGGUGAAAUUCUUGGAUCGUAGCAAGACGACCUACUGCGAAAGCAUUUGCCAAGAAUGUUUUCAUUAAUCAAGAACGAAAGUUAGAGGUUCGAAGGCGAUCAGAUACCGCCC
rnacentral:rRNA from 1 species